rnacentral:rRNA from 1 species
AACGAACGCUGGCGGCAUGCCUAACACAUGCAAGUCGAACGAGACCUUCGGGUCUAGUGGCGCACGGGUGCGUAACGCGUGGGAACCUGCCCUUAGGUUCGGAAUAACUCCCCGAAAGGGGUGCUAAUACCGGAUAAUGUCUUCGGACCAAAGAUUUAUCGCCUUUGGAUGGGCCCGCGUUGGAUUAGCUAGUUGGUAGGGUAAAAGCCUACCAAGGCGACGAUCCAUAGCUGGUCUGAGAGGAUGAUCAGCCACACUGGGACUGAGACACGGCCCAGACCCCAAGGGGGGGCAGCAGGGGGGAAAUUUGGAAAAUGGGGAAAAGCCUGAUCCAGCAAUGCCGGGUGAGUGAUGAAGGCCUUGGGGUUGUAAAGCUUUUUUACCCGGGAUGAUAAUGACAGUACCGGGGAAAUAAGCCCCGGCAAACCCCGG